rnacentral:rRNA from 1 species
CAGAGGGGGCAAGCGUUGUUCGGAAUUACUGGGCGUAAAGGGCGCGUAGGCGGCCUGCUAAGUCGAACGUGAAAUCCCCGGGCUCAACCCGGGAACUGCGUCCGAUACUGGCAGGCUUGAAUUCGGGAGAGGGAUGCGGAAUUCCAGGUGUAGCGGUGAAAUGCGUAGAUAUCUGGAGGAACACCGGUGGCGAAGGCGGCAUCCUGGACCGAAAUUGACGCUGAGGCGCGAAAGCCAGGGGAGCAAACGGGAUUAGAUACCCCGGUAGUCCUGGCCCUAAACGAUGAAUGCUUGGUGUGGCGGGUAUCGAUCCCUGCCGUGCCGAAGCUAACGCAUUAAGCAUUCCGCCUGGGGAGUACGGUCGCAAGGCUG